GUGGGGAAUAUUGGGCAAUGGCCGAAAGGCUGACCCAGCGACGCCGCGUGUGGGAGGAAGCCCUUCGGGGUGUAAACCACUGUCAGGAGGGACGAAAGAGCUCAUGGUGAAUAAUCAUGGGCAGUGACGGUACCUUCAAAGGAAGCACCGGCUAACUCUGUGCCAGCAGCCGCGGUAAUACAGAGGGUGCAAGCGUUGUUCGGAAUUACUGGGCGUAAAGCGCGCGCAGGCGGGUCCUGUAAGUCGGAAGUGAAAUUUCGGAGCUCAACUCCGAAGCUGCUUCUGAUACUGCGGAUCUAGAGACCGGUAGAGGCUGGUAGAAUUACAGGUGUAGCGGUGGAAUGCGUAGAUAUCUGUAAGAAUACCCGUGGCGAAGGCGGCCAGCUGGGCCGGGUCUGACGCUGAGGCGCGAAAGCGUGGGGAGCAAACAGGAUUAGAUACCCUGGUAGUCCACGCCGUAAACGAUGGGCACUAGGUGCCGGGGGGAGCGACCCCUUCGGUGCCGCAGCUAACGCGAUAAGUGCCCCGCCUGGGGAGUACGGCCGCAAGGC
rnacentral:rRNA from 1 species